CCUUAAACUCCUUAUGGAGUAUAAGUCCUUUAGACUGCAAUCACACUGAAACGGUUUUUCAUCAAGGUCGCUGCUUCAGACUGGAGCACUUUGGAAGAAGCUCGGUAGCUGGUAGCUUAUCAAGGUUGGAAGGACACGCCCUUAACUUUGGAGACGGUGCAGUAGGAGCAUGUGCUGGCCCUCGGCUGGUUACCAGUCUCUCUCUGUGGGGAGAGCAAACCAGAGCGAUUCAGGGUGGGAACUUGUAGCAGUGGACUCUCUCUUUCUCUCCUGUUCCUCUUUUGGCGCAUCCGCCGUCGAGCUCAGCCUGCUGUAUUUACCUCCCUGUGGUCCGGAGACUGGGGAAUCCACCUGCCGGAGAGCACACACCUCGGGAUGGAUGCCCUGAAAUCCGCCGGCAGAGCGAUUAUAAAGAGCCCCGGAGUUCCGCGGCACACAUGGGGAACUUCAAAGCACGAAAAGCUGCCAGAGAACUGGACGGACACCAAGGAGACUCUGCUGGAGGGGAUGGUGUUCAAUGUGAAGUACCUGGGUAUGACCCUGGUGGGCCAGCCCAAAGGAGAGGACAUGGCUUCAGCUGCCAUUCACAGAAUUGUUGCCACUGCCAGAGCCAGAGCUAAAAAGUUUCGGAAAGUAACACUGACAGUCUCACCGAAAGGCAUCAUCAUCACAGACACAGAGACUACAGACCUCAUAGAAAAUGUCUCCAUAUACAGAAUCUCAUACUGCACGGCAGAUAAAACUCAGGAUAAGGUCUUCGCAUAUGUCUCGCAGUGUCAGUUCAAUGAGACGCUGGAGUGCCAUGCAUUUCUCUGCCAAAAGAAGAAGAUUGCUCAGGCUGUGACAUUAACGGUAGCCCAGGCCUUUAAAGUAGCCCUCGAUCUUUGGGAGAUUGCUCAGGAAGACAAAAGCAAGAAGGCCAGGACUUGCUGUUCUUGUGCAGCAAGCAACGGGCAGACAGAAACAACAGACACUCGGUGUGUUCCAGCAGAUCCAGAGACACACAAGCCUGUUGGGAUGGAGGAGAAGCUCCGGAGGCCAUUGUUCUCUGCUUCACUCAGCUCGCCCUCACCUCGUAGUAACCCUACUCGAAGGCGACCAAUCAAACAUGACUCUUGGGAUGUGGAGGAUGGACUCGAUGAUGCAUUCUUAAGACCCUUUUGUGAUGAGCUGACAUGCCUUAAGGGAAACAGCUGGCAUCUUUGUGACUCCAUCUGUACAGGAAAAGUACACAUACAAAGCCACAUUCAACUUAUUUAGCCUGUUGAAUACAUCUGGAAUAUAAACAAAGCAGGAGAGAUACUGUGGUUGCUGGAAGAGGACUUUCUCUACCUGCAAACUUCAACUAUUGAUAAGCUAUAUUUAUGGAUACUGGCCGAGUCCCGCUCCGAACCCAUCUCUGACGAUGCAGCUCUGAGUCCCCAGGAGGUCUCCAAUGAGAAUCUGUUGUCUGUCAGCAACAAUGUGUAUAAAUAACAUACACCGGCAAUAGCUGCCCAAUAUAAAGCACUAUAGAAAUUAGAUAGGAUCAUACCACGACCCCAAGACCAACAAAAAACCCAAAACAGCAUACACACAGCAAAACAUAUCCGGUGCACAACCUGAAUCAGAGAGGCUCUGUUUGAUAUCCUGUGGCUGCUGCAGAGAAUGAAUACCCUGAUAUUAUAAACUGCUAUUUCUGUGAAUGCCUGCCAGUCAACACACGCUCCCUUCAGUGUAAACAGCCAUUUCCAGCCAUCUCCUGCCAUAUUCAAAUUCUCACUAACUGCCAGAUGAAAGAUGGUGCACACAGUGUGCAACACAGCACUGCAAGGCAAGCAAGAAUAGACAUAUUUCUACUCAAUGAAUUUUCCUUGGAAGAUCAUAGGUUGAAUAACAAGUAUGGAGUCUCCUUUUAAUCUAAAUUUCUAAAAAUACGUUGACACGUGGAUUCCACUUGCAAACUCUAAUGAAGAUUUUCUCAGCAUCAGGAAGUCCAAAAGGCUGUCAUCUCUUCCUGAAAAUGUGAAAGCUCUCUGAUCUUGUCAUUUGCUUGAUGGAGUAACAGCUGCCAGUCUCAGCAGUGUACUGUCUCAGCAUUGUACUACAGAGUGUAGUACAGUGUACAAAUUUUAUAACCAACAAAUCAUACAUAAGCUUAGUUUUUUUUUUGGCCAAACAUUCCCAACACAAAGACUGCUUACUCUGUGUAUCAAAGACUUUAAACCACAUAUCUUGGCCUUCUUCAGCAGAUGGAUUUGCUCAGUUAUCAUGAAGAUGGUUUAGUUUGUUAUAUAACAGGUGGUUGUGUGGAUCGGGUGGGGGCGUGGCAUCAAAUAAUAAAAAUAAUCAAACAAAAUAAUAGAAAUAAAUUAUCUGAAGUUACCCAUUUUUUAAUCCACCUAAUAUCAUGUGACCUAAAUUACACACUUAAGUCACUCAGUCAAACCAUCACCAUGAAAACUGAGCAACUUUAUCUGCUGAGGAAGGCCAUGAAUUGUUGCUGAAAGCUUUGGAAGGUCAAGAAUGAAACUUCAAGCUCAAGCUUAGUUUUGCUCUGCAGUGUAAGACAUUUACAUUUGCUCUUUUCAUUCAGCCUCCUUAUUGGGGUUAAAGCAAUGCAUUCAGGGGUACUCCAGUGAUUUAGUAUUGCACUUUUAUAAAGUCGGGGGGGCACAAAAAAGAAGAUUAAAAAAUAAAAGUAACAGAGGCCAAUAUAUCCUCACCUGUAUUCCCUAGUAUGGGCCAAGCUCCAAAAACACUGGAUCCUACAUUUCCCAUAAUGCAACUCGAUAGUGUCUUUUAUUAGACCCUACCUGCCUGGUAAACAGGUUUGUAUUUAGAACUCCACACUCCCAGUUUGUAAGGCAGAGGUUAAAACUUUUAAAUCUCCAAGUCAAAAUAACCCUGAUGACAUCACUAUGACAUCAUCAGGGUUAUUUUUUCUGACUUUGCAGCACUCCCUCCAGAGCCACAGAAGACAACUGUUUUCACAGGCUCAGUAGUACUAAUCAUUACAAGAAAACUGACCUUGAUGUGUAGAAUCGAUGGAGUGCCCCUUUAAGGUAAACACAUUUUUAUCUUUAAAAACAAAUCUGGAAUCCAUUACAAAAAAACACACAAGAAAACCUUACUAUUGUGAGAAAUGUGGAUGAUUCAGUAAUCAAAACGAAUAACCCAUUGAUAACCCUUGUGCUUGAUUGCUUUAUGUUAUCAAUAUCAGUAGGAUGUUUCUAAAGAGAUUGUGUUUGCAAUGUAAAGAAACCACUAUCUUCAUCACUCAACACAAUAGCAAGCUUUUCUCUUGCAGAAACAGGCUGACAUUCCUGUAACAAUCAAUUUCAAUGCUGUCUUACUUGAAUAUGGCUUAUGUAACCAAAAUGACUAUUUUACAUUCUGUCGUUCCUCAUUCAGUCAGCUGCCACUGUACAUAAAGAUGAUGUUACUGUUAGCGAUAGCGAUGAUGUAAGGUUAUGGACAACUGUAUGGCAAGGCUAAACUGUUACAGUAAAGAAACUUAUUUCCAUAUGCUGUAUUUUUUCAAUGUCAAAGCUGUGUAAUUUAUGUAUGCAUAUUGUAUCAUUAUAAAUGAAGUUGGAUGAAUAGAAUCAGGGCUUCACAUAGGUUGUUUAAAAAAAUUAUCACUCUUGUUGAGAUGUGAAUGUGUAGAUGCUUUUAUGUUUUGCAUUAGGUUAGACGAUUUGUACAAAUGUAAUCGUAUGUGGUUUUUAUUACUGCGGGAAUUGCUUUAUUUUUCCAAAAUAGCCAUUAGUAACCUGCGUACAGUAUACAUUUAUAAAAUCCCAAAAAUAUUAUUCUUUUCUCAAUUCAGUAAUCACCUGUUACAUUGAUUGACACAGUUCACAUUUUCCUCGCUUAACUGCAAUCUGUGCCACAAAACAUGUCCUUCGUCCCAAAUUUAUUAUAGACGAAUUUCUGCUCUGCUCAGACUGCAAAUUAUUUUUAUCCACUGCUCAGAUGACGUUCACUGUCAAGAUGAUAUUAUAUUGUGCCCCAGUCUGGCCGAAGUGGUCCUUCUCUCUGUAUUCAUGGCAUCAUGACUGAGAAUAAUUGUGGCGGCGGGAGGUAGCGGGGGCUCUGUGUUGUUGUCAUGACACCCGCUGCCGAAUAAUUGGAAGGCUUAUCAAGUUACGCCAUGAAGCUUGAUUGCAUUGUUUCGUUCCUGACUGGCUGAAAUACCAACUCCACUGCGUAUUUUAAAGAAAGCUCUAUACUGUUUGGAUAUCAUAAAUAGCCUCCAGCAUGUCUGUGGGUGAUCUUUUGAGCCGUGUUUGCAUUUUAUUGACUGUGAAGGUCAAGGUCAGUGCACUGUCAAAAUGCAGUGUUGUCAUUUUUGCCUUACCUUUCUCUCCAACAUUUUUCCUCACGAGUAGAAGUGAUUUUUACAACAUUUUCUCACCUUUUCCGCUCCGUCAUUGACUGACCGAUUGAUUCAUGUGUGGAUGCUUCAGUCUCUGCUGAUUCAGAGCUAUUGAGUGAUAUUUGGAGAUGGGCUGUUGUCCAGAAGCUCUCAGACUCAGAAUUGGUUUUCAAUAAUGAGUUUUGAAGCACAUUUACUCAUAAGAAUAAACGGUGGAGUUCUGCACAGCGUCACCACAAUCUGCAUUAUUAUCCAGUGCAGAGACCUGUAAGGGGCGCUAUUAGAUAUUACACUUGGAUAUAGUCUUCACAAAGUCUUUGCCCUUUUUGAUUGAUUUUCAAGCAAACAAAAAGCAGUGUAAUAUAAUUUGAUUUUGCAGCCAAACCCUCUGGAUCCUUAUUUAGAUUGAUCAAUCCCUGUAUAAAUUACAUUAUGGCUCAAAUCGAUUUGCUGGACUGCACAGGCUCCUAACAGUUUUCUUACAUGUAGCCAGUAUACUGUAUACCACACACUGAUGUGAUCAGAUUCCCAUCAAAUCUUGAAUGGAUGCGGUUCUUUGGCUCAGCCGAGAAUUUUCCAUGCAGGAGGGGGGGACCGACCUGCACUUGGAGGUAUAACAUGCCAAUUUGAGUCCGGAGUGCACUGAAUAUAAAUCAGCCUGUGAAGGAUUGAGGCCAGAAAACAUUUGAGUCUUGUAAAAAUGAGAAAGCUCUUCAACUGGAAAAGGGGAGAAUUUUCAGAUAAGCUAUUGUUACCCAAAUUAACCACUGACGUUUACAGUAUCGGUUUACUUUUCAAAGAAGGUGCUUAUUUUCUAUCUAUGCAAUUAGUGGGUUUCCAACAGUGUUGUGAUAUUAAGAUAAUCGCAAUUUGUGUAUAAACAACAAGCAGUUGUCCUAAACUGUGAAAAAAGUUUUACAGAAUUUGGAAAAACUGUUAUGGUUUGUUACAUAUGUAUACAUAAUAAAAGGACUUUGUACAAAAAUGUAA